CCACCAUUGCCCCGACCUGCGGGAAGGAUAAAAUAAUUCACUCUAGUACGAACAGCGUUACCAGAAACGUCCAGCACUGGUUCACCACCAUCUUCAGCCUUUAUGAAAAAAGAUGACGUUGUUGAUAAUUGAAAAAAAAAGAAAAGGUGUAGAUUGUCUUGAGAAUGGGUAAAAAAUACAUUUUUGCUAAAUGCAAAGCCACUACCGAUUCUGAUACUACUGGUAGCAAUAGAAAAAAAAGUUGAGGCAGUUGGAAAUGUCUCAAAAAGGAAGAAAAAUAAAGAGUCAGUUUCCGAAUCAGAUUCGGAGUUAAAAGAAAAAAGCGACUACGUCGAUUCCGGUGAAGAUGUUGCCAAACACAAUGCUAAUGGUGACAGUGAAGAGAGCGAAGAUAGUGAAAGAAACAGUGCUGAUGGGAUAAUGAUCCCUUGUCCAUGCCAUUUCUUUCAAGGUUCAUUUCCAUUGAGCGGUAGACCUUCGAACGAUAAUGGACGAGGUUGGAUCUUUCCCGGCAAAGAUAUCGGUCAAAUCAAGAAUGGCUGUUUAUCGAGAUUUCCAGCAAGUUCUUGUCGACCAAGAGUUAAAGAAAAGAUUCAAGCUGUCCUGUUUUGGACACCUAAGAAACCUGUCGGAACAUCUCAAGUUCAAUGGGCAGUUGGUCCAUUAUUUGUUGUUGCGACGCGUCAAGAAUGAUACGAUGCAUCACGAGAUGUGGUUCUGUGUUAAUAACAAGCCUGCAUGUUUUGACUUGAAAGAGUUUUGUUUGAUCACGGGGCUGAACUGCUCAUCAUACCCCAGUGAAUAAAAAAUGAAGAGAGCAUUAGCAAAGGGGGAGAAUUUUUGCUUUAAGGUGACGAAAAACAAAAACAUUACGGCAGCCAAUUUGCUACACCUGAUCAGAGGGAAUAAGCUGAACGAGGACCAGAAGUUUAAGUGUUGUUUACUGUGGUUCUUGCACACCAUGUUGCUUGCAAAAGAUUCGACGAAGGUCGUGGACAUGAAACUAAUUCGAAUGGUAGAUUCUUUGAGUUUCUUCGAGAAUUAUCCGUGGGGGAAAGAGACAUUUCAACUGACCCUGGCUAUCUAAAGAAGUAAAGUGACCUGAAGAAGCAGAGGAAAGUAUUUGAUGAGAAGCAGAAGGCAUCCUAUGCUCUAUUCAGAUUUCCCUGGGCAUUCAUGGUUUGGAUCUACGAGGUCUUUCCUCAUCUUGGAAAUUUUUUUAAAAAAUCAAUGGAUGAACCCUUUCCCACUCCCUGCAUCAGAUGGCACACUAAAAAAAAUGACCAAAUAAUCGAAGGCGACUUAUUCAAGUACAAAGGAAAAAUUACCGAGGUAUGAACUCAUUUUUUAUUAUGAAAUAAUAAUACUAUUGUAAAUUAAUAUUUUGUAGCGCGUGCACCCCUACAUCAUCCCUACUCUUCGUGAGACGAAGAAGGAUUACAUGAUUUCCUUUGAGCCAUAUACGGACGAGGUGAAAAAUAACGUCCUUGAUGGAUGAAACAAAGAGUUAGAAGGGGUGACUGUACUUACUUCAAAUGAGGACAGUGAUGAUGGCGGGGAUUUGGGCGGUAACCCCGUUGAAGUACGCGUUGGUGAUGAUGAUACUCCGAGCACCUCCAAAGAUGCAGCGGGCACUUCAUCCUCUGGGGAUCUUCAUAAGCGUAUUGUUGUACUCGAGGAAGCGAUGUUGGAUAUUGUUGCUUAUAUUAGAGAGAAAAGAUUGAAGAAAAAGGAACGAGAUGAGCGACAACACGAGCAAGUGAAUGUGGAUCUUCGUGAAUCGGAGAGGAAUGAAGAAGGAGAAAAAGGGUGCAAAAUGGAUGAGUUGGCCUCUGUUGUGGUGAGAGAGGAAAAAGAAGAAUAAAAGAAGGAUAAAGAAGAACAUAUGUGCAAAGAAGAAAGUCCAAAAGAAGCAGUUGCAUCAGAAGCUGAUAAAGAAGCAGCAGUAGAUAUUGAGAAAAAAGGAGAAGAAGGUGAAGAAGCACCAGCCGAAGAAGUACUAGCUGCUGUAGAUGCUAAAAUAGAAGGAGAAGAAGGCAAGCAUGAAGAAGCAGCCGAACCUACUGACAAAAAAGGAGCUGAAGCUCACCUAAAAGAUUUGGUCAUGGAUAUCGUAGGUGAAAUCAAUAGUAGCAUUUGUAUUGAUGAUGAAGACAGGGAAAAAGACAUUUGAAUGUUAAUAUUGUUAAUGUGUUGUUGAAUGAUUGGUAGUUAGGAUCGGACAAAUAUUUUUUUAUUAGAAAUAUUAUUUUAUUUUAUGGUAGUGGUUAUGAUUCUGCACUGAAUCUAUCUCUAUCAAACUGAUUAGUGGUAUUUCCAUUU